AUGAACAUGUGCUUGCAUUGUGCAGGCCUGUAUUCUUCUCCGUGCAAAAUAUUGUUGUUGUUGUCUAUUUUAUUUUUUGCUUUAGUGGAACUCACUUGUUCUUGAAGUCUUCCACCAGGCCUUGCAUGUUGUGAAGGUCAGCUUCCAGCUUCAUCUUGUCGUUGCCCAGGCUGUCAAGCUGUCUGCGCAGGUUGGUGAUGUAGGCCUCAAACAUGGCGUCAAUGUUUGAACGCGUGGUGGUCUGGCCCUGCAGCAGGUUCCACUUGGUCUCGAGCAUUUUGUUCUGCUGCUCCAGGAAACGCACCUGAGGAAAAAGAAAACGAUAAGACACAGCCACACUAACCUGUGUGGAUUCGACAGUAUGCUAUGUGUCAGCUUAAUGUUUACCUGAAAAGAGAGCUGGACACCCACACCUACAAGGAAGCAGUCACAAUUAAUAGGCUGUGACCUCCCAAGACCCGCCCUGAGUUCUUCUCCUUCCUCCCCCAGUUCCUCGCCACGAUGAGUCAUGUCUCUUAUGAACCAGUCCAAGACCCAACACCAUAAGCUCUUUCCUCCAUCUUUUUUCUUUUUCUAUCAUUCCACUUUCCCGCCAUUGGCCCUCGGCCGGCAUCAUCGUCAUGGAAAUAUACCAAAAUACAACUCCCAUCCUCCCUGAACCACAGCGGAUGCCAGCGAGAGCAGAGGCAUUCGACACAGGCCUGCGAAAGCAAAGAGGGAUCUGAGCCAUAGCCCGAAAACAUGUACCAUGUGACUGGAGAAAAAAAACAAAAAUCUUGAAAGUGAUUAUAAAAGAGUAAUGCUGUGACAAUCACAUGACUGCAGUGCAACCAUUGUAAUUGUAAGUAAACAUUAGGUUAUCAAUCAUUGGGGGAGGGGUUCCAAAUUUACAAACAGAAACAUUUGUUUCACAGGUCACAGUGCUUGGAAGAAUUUCACUGACUCAACAGGGAUUUAUGAAUCACAAUGUACCGUAGUCAAAUGUGGACUCCCAUAUUUUGAGGUAAAUGCUGCUUCAUGGUUCACAGCAGCCAUACAGUAUCAGCAUUUUUUUUUUUUUUUUCUCCUUAAUGAAUUGGUAAGCAACAUUGAACAAGCAGUUUUUUAACCUUAGCAGUGGUUGCUUUGCUGAGUGAAAAUGUAGAGGAAUGUAAGAAAUAUAAUUAUGGGAAAAAAAGAUUCAUUGAUUAUUCAAAAAAAGCCUCUAAAGCGAUAGUAAUAUUAUUGUUUGAAAGUGUUUUUAAAAUGUGUUAUGAUGGCAAUACUUGGACAAGUAUUUUGUUCAAUCUGUUAGGUUUCACCAUAUCAGUUUCCAACCCCCCCCCCCCCAAUCAAAAUAGCUUGUUGUACAUAUUUCAGAAGGUUUCUCAACACUGUACACAUAGCGAGGAAAAACUGGCUCCUAUCAAUGCCAUUGUUAGACAAGGUAUGGGUCACAUCACACUGUAGUUAUUCGCAGCAAUAACACUUGUUAAGUGUGCAGAGGUUAGACCUCAUUCCUCUUUAAGGAAGACACUCAGAGUUCGAACACCCCCAAAGUCGUUCUAGUGGCAAUUCAACCGACAAUUUUGCUGGUAAAUUUGAUUUGAUAAAAUCAAUGGCAGAUGUUGAAAGUUGCCACUGUUGCCCAUUGCAACAUUCACACAUUCGUCUGUAUGAGUGUGUAUCAUCUGUCUAAUCACAUGCAUGGGGCUAAGGUUUCUUGUGACCGGAAACAAGGCAGGUAUCUGGAAUUUACCACACCAAACAUGAGUAGAUACACACACACAAGAUGGACCUUUACCCUAAAAUCCAUAAACAUCCCAGAUCUCACUCAGCUCAUCAGUAUGUUGCAAGCUCCAUUCUGUGGGAGUGCGUAUCAGACACCAUGUGCUUAUGGGUGUAGCCAGUCUCAACCUCUAAAUGGUGAAAGAGUAUGUAAAGAGUAUUAAUACCACUCAAAUGUGAUGGGUGCUGAGGUCAGACUUCUUGUGAUAUGCCACAUUAUUUUUCACAAGACUUAAGAGAAAAAAUGAAGGUCAUUUUUAAGAAAAAAAUAUAAAUAAU